rnacentral:tRNA from 1 species
GCCUGGUUGGUUCAGUCAAAAGAACAUGUGACUCUUGAUCCCAAGGUCAUGAGUUCGAGCCCCACAUUGGGUG